UUAUCACCAGCUUGAGCCAAUGUGGCAUUUAUAGGUGAAUGUGAAGGCUCCAGCUUCCCACUGGAGGGAACAGACUUCCAAUUGUUGUGGGAUAGGUUCGUGAAGUGAAGUUUUCCAAUCAUGACCUCCCUAGAUCCGCUGCAUACUGGGCCAGCAAGUCCCACAGAGGAAAUCACAUGGAAAUCGCAUGAGUGAUCCCAGCCAACUGGAAGAGGCACACACUCCUGCUCCCUUUCCUUAAUGCAAC
rnacentral:lncRNA from 11 species